rnacentral:lncRNA from 1 species
UUCAGUAUUUUUUCCCACCCCUAUAGAAUAUGGUUUGUGUUAAUUUUACAUAUAUAAAAUAGGGUAAAUUACACAGUAGCCCCUCAGGUUUUAAGGUCUAUUACAACCCCAUACAACAACUUUAAAACAUUUCACUUUCAUACCUCAAGUACUAUUUUAUUUCAAUAUAAUACAUCCGUUAGAUUUUUCAUCAAUUAAUCCGUUAAAUGCUGACGUGGCUGC